GAAAUGCGAUAAGUAGUGUGAAUUGCAGAAUUCAGUGAAUCAUCGAAUCUUUGAACGCACAUUGCGCCCCUUGGUAUUCCAUGGGGCAUGCCUGUUCGAGCGUCAUUUGUACCCUCAAGCUCUGCUUGGUGUUGGGUGUUUGUCCCGUCUCCGCGCGUGGACUCGCCCCAAAGUGAUUGGCAGCCGGCGUACUGGUCCCGGAGCGCAGCACAUGUCGCACAAACGAGUGCCUUGGUACGGCGGCGUCCAUAAGCCCCUCUCGCACGCUCUUGACCUCGGAUCAGGUAGGGAUACCCGCUGAACUUAAGC
rnacentral:misc_RNA from 1 species